rnacentral:rRNA from 1 species
CAGGUCAGUAUGCCCCGAAUGUCUUGGGCUACACGCGCGCUACAAAGGGCAGGACAAUGGGAUGCUAGGCCGAGAGGCAUUCAAGCUAACCCGAAACCUGUUCAUAGUUCGGAUUGAGGGCUGUAACUCGCCCUCAUGAAGCUGGAUUCCGUAGUAAUCGUGUUUCAAUAUAGCACGGUGAAUAUGCCCCUGCUCCUUGCACACACCGCCCGUCAAACCAUC